GCGGUGAGCUGUGACGAGGGCCCGGGAGCGGAGCCGGGGCGGUGACGAGGCCGAAGCCGGGGUUAGGCCGGGGCCUGGACCGAAAGGCUGGCUGAGGCCAAAGAGCAGAUCGCGAGUCUUGGAAGGCGGGCCUGGGAAACAAGGUCCAGCUGGGCGGCCGGAGCUGCGGCGAUUAAGAGAUGAAGCCAGAAAAUACCCACACUGGCCUUGGUGUGAGGCGACAGACCCUCUCCACCAGUGCAGGCGGGCAUAAUUGACGCAAACUCUUUGAAGACAGUUUGGCAAUAUCUGAUGGCAGCCUCUGUUGGACCCAAAACUACUACUGCAAGGAUCUCAAAUUGUCAAAAAGAGUGAGACAAGAGCACGGAAAACAAUGCUUCCCGCUCUGGCAGCCAUCUUGUGACUGCGAGAAAAGAUCAAAAGGAUUGUUGGGGGUUAAUGGGGGGAUGAGGACACAUAUGUAAUACCUUAAUCAAUAAAGAAAUUAAAGAUUGAAAAAAAAAGGUCAAAAGGAUUGCGCAGAGGUCAAGUCACUCGGCAGGACUGCAGCCCAGAUCUUCCUGAUGCCAGGACGUGGGCCUCUCUCACAAUGUUCCACGGCCUCCAUCUCCCCUGGAAAACCCACACCACCAUGCAGGGGGGAUGCCUCCUGGGCGCCCCCUCACCGCACCUGUCAAUGCGUUGCCAGGACCUCUUCAUUUGUCUUUUCACCUGUCCUCUUCCCCUAUCGGACUGAACUCUGAGGUGGCAGGACAACCUUGGUCACUGCUGUAUCCCCAAGGCCUGCUGACACACUGAGAUGUCGGGGAAAGGGACCCCCUGAGCGACUCCCUCCACCCCUAAGAUUAUUCCCCCGGGGUGAGCCCUGGGUGGGGGGUGGCCUUGAAGUUCAGCAGAACCCAGGUGUCCCUGCUCUCGCAGUUACAGGAGGUUCCUAAGAACCAUCUGCUGCCCUGCCUGCAGAGUGAAAGGAGAGGAUCCCCCCAUCCAAGCCCCUUCCUGUGGGUCGGAAACCCGGGAAACAAGGGAGCAGAGGGGGGCUGCCCAGCUUGCUCCUUCCUGGAAGGCACCUACCUCCCCUGGAAGGAGCAAAUCUGGCUGCAGAUCCUACUGCCUCCCAGACAGGGGGCUGGGGCUGCCCUGGCCCUGCAGUGGGCAGUCACUGAGCCCCUUCAUGGGAAGCCCCAGUUAUAAUUUCCAGAGUGUGGGAUGGUCACGAAGGUGUGGUGUCCUGUGUCCUGAGGCUCCUCCCCCUCUCACCUGGGUUCAGCGAAGUGUCUGUAGCCCUGGCAGCCUAGGCCUGGGACUUCCCAUUAGCCCACCUGGAGCUGGCAGCCCGCAGCCCGCACCCCCCACCCCAGGAUCCUCACCACUCCCCAUGGAGUCCAGCCCCCAGCAAUCCCAGACUUUCUUUUCCUCCCCUUUUAAUUCUCCCCCAGCCCAUAACUCAGCAUCAUGAUCCUGUGCUCGAGCUAUCUUUGAUCACACAUUGAGAAAUUAGAACUUUUUUAAAAAACAUUUACGCCCCCACCCCUAAUUACAAAAGUAACAUAUGUUCAUUGUAGAUAAUCUGGGAAAAUACCAAAAAUCCAACAAAGAAAA